rnacentral:ncRNA from 1 species
CACUAAUAGGGAACGUGAGCUGGGUUUAGACCGUCGUGAGACAGGUUAGUUUUACCCUACUGAUGAUUGUCACCGCAAUGGUAAUUCAGCUUAGUACGAGAGGAACCGCUGAUUCAGAUAAUUGGUUUUUGCGGCUGUCUGACAAGGCAGUGCCGCGAAGCUACCAUCUGCUGGAUAAUGGCUGAACGCCUCUAAGUCAGAAUCCAUGCCAGAACGCGGCGAUUUCCUCCCACACAUCGUAGUCGGAUACGAAUAGGCCUAUGGCCCUGAAUCUUAGCUAGUUGGCAAUGGGACAGCGGGAGAAGUCCACUGUCUCAGCUGACGCCUUGCAAUUUUACCAUGCGUGGGGAUAAAACCUUUGCAUACGACUUAGUUAUAUCAGACGGUGCUGUAAAUAGUAGAGUAGUCUUGUUAUUACGAUCUAUUGAGGCUAAGCCGCGCUGAUUUAGUUUUGU